CAAUAGUGUAUAUUAAAGUUGUUGCAGUUAAAAAGCUCGUAGUUGGAUGUCGGUAACUAUCAUAAGUGUCUACUCUCAAUGAGUACGUACACGAAUGUAGUACCUUCUUUCUGGUAGUAAUUUUAUAUUGCUCCAGAUAUUUUACUUUGAGAAAAUUAGAGUGUUCAAAGCAGGCGUAACUUUGCCUUUGAAUAUAUUAGCAUGGGAUAAUGAAAUAAGACUUUUGCCUUAUUUUCGUUGGUUCUUUAGGCUUGAGUAAUGAUUAAUAGGGACAGUUGGGGUUAUCUGUAUUUGAUCGCCAGAGGUGAAAUUCUAAGACUGAUCAAAGACAAACUACUGCGAAAGCAUUUAACAAGGAUGUUUUCAUUAA
rnacentral:rRNA from 1 species